rnacentral:rRNA from 1 species
AUCGAACGCUGGCGGCAGGCCUAACACAUGCAAGUCGACCUUAGUGGCGAACGGGUGCGUAACACGUGGGUAACCUGCCCAUCCGAAGGGGAUAACACUUGGAAACAGGUGCUAAUACCGUAUACUGAUGGCUGGACCCGCGGUGCAUUAGCUAGUUGGUGAGGUAACGGCUCACCAAGGCCACGAUGCAGAGCCGACCUGAGAGGGUGAUCGGCCACAUUGGGACUGAGACACGGCCCAGACUCCUACGGGAGGCAGCAGUAGGGAAUCGUCGGCAAUGGACGAAAGUCGGAACGAGCAACGCCGAGUGAGUGAAGAAGGUGUUCGGAGCGUAAAACUCUGUUGUUAGAGAAGCGGUAUCGAACCAGAAAGCCACGGCUAACUACGUGCCAGCAGCCGCGGUAAUAC